ensembl:lncRNA
GUCGCCUUAGCCAAGGUCUGGCGCGCUGUGACAGCGGCGGGGUUUCCCACAGAGACUACAGACUCGCAGUGUCGGGGGACAAAAGUCCGGGCCAGCCCUGCCAGGGAACCUCGAGGCAUGGUGCUCUGGCCGACCCCUAGCCGGGUCGCUGGUCUGGUCCCCAGGGACAGCAAGCUGAGCGGCCUGUGAGCAGCAGCAGCGUCAAGGCUGGAUGUUGAAUUGCCUAUACUUCAAUCUGAACGUGGGAUGAGAAUGAUGGCUGUGCAUUAAAUGAACAACUCAAUAUGUGACGCCAUGGAGAAGUACAAGGAGCUCAUACAAGAGAACAAUUCCUACACAUCAGGCACUUCCAGCUCCUGCGUGAACGGACUCCAUAGAAGAACAAUAUAAAGAUUUUGCUGAAUGAGAACAAAAAACUGAUGGUGGAGCAGACUGUUCUGCCAGCAUCCUGUGUGGAGGCAAAGAGGUUCUGUGAAGAGGCCGGAAUGAACAUCUGUGUCCCCAGAGCCAAGCAGUUGCAGGUCUAAAAUUCUCCAGCGAAACUCGAACAUGGCAUAGACCAGAACAAGAUCUCCCUUGGAGAGCAGUGCCACAGGAGGAGUCUAAGUGUGCACAACAAAUACACCACUAUUACAUCGCAUCCUUAAUAUCCAUAGCAGUUGUGGGCUGCAUUUUCCUACUUUAGUUUGAUUUCUUUGGAUUGAAUAGGCCAUACUUUCAUCUCGGCUCUCCCGAGCAAGCGUGCACAUUUGAAGAAGCGUGCACAGAGAAGAGCUGAUGCACAUCAAUCGAGAACUGCUGAGCAUCCAGGAAGAGUGUGCACAUGUACAUUUGUACUUGUCCUGAAGGGUCACCCAGAAGAGUUUCAUGGAGAUCAGUCCACAACAUUGGAAAAACUUUGAGUCAAAGACUGUCAUAUGUUUUAUACUCAGUAUUGGAUGGCUUUGUCCUUCAUACCCUCACUCCAACAAGGCAGACCUACUUACAUUCCC